rnacentral:rRNA from 1 species
AGGAAGCAUUUAUUAGAUAAAAAGCCAAUGCAUGCUUUUACAGUAUGAAAAUUGGUGAUUUAUAAUAACUUAGCAAAUCGUAAAGUGAAAACAGACGAUAAAUCAUUCAAGUUUCUGACCUAUCAGCUUUCGACGGUAUGGUAUUGGCUUACCGUGGCAGUGACGGUUAACGGGGGAUUAGGGUUCGAUUCCGGAGAGGGAGCCUGAGAAACGGCUACCACAUCUAAGGAAGGCAGCAGGCGCGCAAAUUACCCAAUUCUAACAGUUUGAGAGAGGUAGUAACAAGAAAUAACAAUACAAGGCAGUUAAAAUGCUUUGUAAUUGGAAUGAUAGAAAUUUAAACCCUUUUUAAAGUAUCAAUUGGAGGGCAAGUCUGGUGCCAGCAGCCGCGGUAAUUCCAGCUCCAAUAGCGUAUAUUAAAAUUGUUGCAGUUAAAAAGCUCGUAGUUGAAGUUCUGCUAAAAGUAACCGGUCUGCUUUUAAUAAAAGUGGUAUCUUGGUAUGUAUUUAGCAAUGAUGUCCUUUGAAGUGUUUUUUACUUUAUUGUAAUAAAGCAUAUUCAGGACUUUUACUUUGAGAAAAUUAGAGUGUUUCUAGCAGGCCGACGCUUUGAAUACUGCAGCAUGGAAUAAAUAAGA